rfam:Apis mellifera strain DH4 linkage group 13, whole genome shotgun sequence.
GUCGGUUACGGGGACAUGGUGCCCAAGACGUACGUGGGCAUGUUCGUGGGCGCCCUCUGCGCCCUGGCCGGUGUACUGACCAUCGCCCUGCCGGUGCCCGUGAUCGUCAGCAAC